rnacentral:rRNA from 1 species
ACCGCCGCGNUGCUCACUGACGCAUACUACAAGUUCUUCCGGCUCCGCGAGGUAGCUGGUAAUCAACAAUAUGCGUCGUGAUGGGGAUAGAUCUUUGGAAUUAUUGAUCUUGAACGAGGAAUGCCUAGUAAGCGCAAGUCAUCAGCUUGCGUUGAUUAAGU